rnacentral:lncRNA from 1 species
AAGCCACAUUCCCGUAACACACUCCAUGAAGGUGUAGAAUUCCUGACCCCUAGUAUGGUGCGUAAAAAACGUAAGAGCCACUUUUGAAUACAAUUCUCCAUCUCUUGACCCUGUUGUAGAUAAGAAGUGGCCCAAAUCUGAGAAGCGUACAUGCCGGCUGGAAUGACAUAAGUUUUGAAUAACCAGAGAUACGCAUGUAAAC